UACGUAGGGGGCUAGCGUUGUCCGGAUUUAUUGGGCGUAAAGCGCGUGUAGGCGGCUUGGCAAGUCCGCUGUGAAAACUCGAGGCUCAACCUCGAGAUGUCGGUGGAAACUGCCUGGCUAGAGUCCGGAAGAGGAGUGUGGAAUUCCAGGUGUAGCGGUGAAAUGCGUAGAUAUCUGGAGGAACACCGGUGGCGAAGGCGGCGUUCUGGACUGUCUCUGACACUGAAGAACGAAAGCCAGGGGAGCAAAGCGGG
rnacentral:rRNA from 1 species